GACGAACGCUGGCGGCGUGCUUAACACAUGCAAGUCGAACGGAAUGGGGCUUCUUUUGUGGGGUGUUCGAGUCGCGCACGGGAGAGUCACGCGUAGGAAACGUGCCACUGAUCUUGGCAUCACUUCAGGAAGCUUGGUCUUAUCUCAUAUACUACUUCCAGCUGCAUGGAGGGGUAUGGAAAGUAUCGGCGGUUCGGGAUGGACUCGCGGCUUAUUAGCUCGUUGGUGGGGUAGAGGCUUACCAAGGCGUUGAGGGGUAGCCGGCCUGAGAGGGUGACCGGCCACAUGGGGACUGGGAUACGGCCCUGACUCAUACGGGAGGCAGCAGUGGGGAAUAUUGGACAAGGGACCGAGAGAUGAAGCAACAAAGUCGGGUGUAAGAUGACAGCUUUCAGGAUGGAAAACGGUUUCACGUGUGAAGAAACGACAGUACGGGAACUGCGUAAGAAAGCACCGGCAAACAACUU
rnacentral:rRNA from 1 species